CACGUAGUUAGCCGUGGCUUAUUCCUCGGGUACCGUCAUUUGUUCGUCCCCAAGAAAAGAAGUUUACAACCCGAAAGCCUUCUUCCUUCACGCGGCGUUGCUGGGUCAGGCUUGCGCCCAUUGCCCAAUAUUCCCCACUGCUGCCUCCCGUAGGAGUCUGGGCCGUGUCUCAGUCCCAAUGUGGCCGGCCAACCUCUCAGUCCGGCUACUGAUCGUCGCCUUGGUGGGCCGUUACCCCGCCAACCAGCUAAUCAGACGCGAGGCCAUCUCAGAGCGAUAAAUCUUUGGCAGCCAGAGCCAUGCGGCUCAGCUGCAUCAUGCGGUAUUAGCGGCUGUUUCCAACCGUUAUUCCCCACUCCGAGGCAGGUUCCUCACGCGUUACUCACCCGUCCGCCACUUUCCUCAGUUUCAUUUGGACGAAUCCUCAAUCCACUGAUUCUCGUUCGACUUGCAUGUGUUAAGCACGCCGCAGCGUUCAUCCUGAGCCAGGACUCAAACU
rnacentral:rRNA from 1 species